UCAGGCCUAACACAUGCAAGUCGAGCGCGAAAGUCUUCGGAUGAGUAAAGCGGCGAACGGGUGAGUAAUGCAUGGGAAUCUGCCUGGUAGUGGGGGACAACGUCUCGAAAGGGACGCUAAUACCGCAUACGCCCUACGGGGGAAAGGGGGGGAUCUUCGGACCUCUCGCUAUCAGAUGAGCCCAUGUCAGAUUAGCUAGUUGGUGAGGUAAAGGCUCACCAAGGCGACGAUCUGUAACUGGUCUGAGAGGAUGAUCAGUCACACUGGAACUGAGACACGGUCCAGACUCCUACGGGAGGCAGCAGUGGGGAAUAUUGGACAAUGGGGGCAACCCUGAUCCAGACAGGGCCGCGUGUGUGAAGAAGGUCCUAGGGU
rnacentral:rRNA from 1 species